rnacentral:rRNA from 1 species
AGUGAACGCUGGCGGCAUGCCUUACACAUGCAAGUCGAACGGCAGCAUGGUCUGGGUUUCUUGAUAGGUGUCGCGUGUCGCACGGGUGAGUAGUAUACCUGAGCGUGUCCUUUAUCGGGGGAUAACUAGUCGAGAAACUUACUCAUACACCAUACACCCUGUAGGUGAAAAUGGGGGACCGCUACGCCCCUUGCGCUAUGAACUGCCGCUGUCUGAUUAGCUAGUUGGUGAGGUAAAGGCUCACACAGGCGACGAUCAGUAGCUGGUCUGAGAGGACGAUCAGCCACACUGGGACUGAGACACGGCCCAGACUCCUACGGGAGGCAGCAGUGGGGAAUAUUGGACAAUGGGCGCAAGCCUGAUCCAGCCAUGCCGCGUGUGUGAAGAAGGCCUUCGGGUUGUAAAGCCCUUUUGUCGGGAAAGAAAAGGAGCAGGUUAAUACCUCGCGGUGCUGACGGUACCCAAAGAAUAAGCACCGGCUAACUACGUG